AACGAACGCUGGCGGCAGGCUUAACACACGCAAGUCGAACGGGUGUAGCAAUACAUCAGUGGCAGACGGGUGAGUAACACGUGGGAACCUUCCUCGGGGUACGGAACAACUCAGGGAAACUUGAGCUAAUACCGUAUACGUCCGUGAAGAGAAAGAUUUAUCGCCCUGAGACGGGCCCGCGUCGGAUUAGCUAGUUGGUGGGGUAACGGCCUACCAAGGCGACGAUCCGUAGCUGAUCUUAGAGGAUGAUCAGCCACACUGGGACUGAGACACGGCCCAGACUCCUACGGGAGGCAGCAGUGGGGAAUAUUGGACAAUGGGCGCAAGCCUGAUCCAGCCAUGCCGCGUGAGUGAAGAAGGUCUUCGGAUUGUAAAGCUCUUUUGCCAGGGACGAUAAUGACGGUACCUGGAGAAUAAGCCCCGGCAAACUUCGUGCCAGCCGCCGCGGUAA
rnacentral:rRNA from 1 species